UGAGUACGAGAUGCUACGGCAUUGAAGCAGUCUAUGUCAUACUUCCAAGAAAAGCUUGCACUGACAUAAACAAAGAAUGCCUGUACCAUAACCGACACAGGUGGGUAGGUAGAGUAUACUAAGGGGCGCGAGAUAACUCUCUCUAAGGAACUCGGCAAAAUGACUCCGUAACUUCGGGAGAAGGAGUGCCUUAUUUUUAAGGUUGCAAUAACAAGAUCCAAGCAACUGUUUAUCAAAAACACAGGUCUCCGCUAAGUCGUAAGACGAUGUAUGGGGGCUGACGCCUGCCCAGUGCCAGAAGGUUAAAGAAGUUGGUUAGCAUUCGCGAAGCUGAUAACUGAAGCCCUGGUGAACGGCGGCCGUAACGAUAACGGUCCUAAGGUAGCGAAAUUCCUUGUCGGGUAAGUUCCGACCCGCACGAAAGGCGUAAUGAUUUGGAUGCUGUCUCGGAGAGGGACUCGGUGAAAUAGACUUGUCUGUGAAGAUGCGGACUACCUGCACCUGGACAGAAAGACCCUAUGAAGCUUUACUGUAACUUGAAAUUGAAAUUGGACUUUAGUUGCGCAGGAUAGGUGGGAGGCGUUGAGAAUAUUCUUGCGGGAGUAUUGGAGCCAUCAGUGAGAUACCACUCUUCUAAUGUUAGAUUUCUAACUUUGUAUCAUUAUCUGGUCAAAGAACAGUUUCAGGCGGGCAGUUUGACUGGGGCGGUCGCCUCCUAAAGGGUAACGGAGGCGCACAAAGGUUUCCUCUGAACGAGUAGAAAUCGUAUCUAGAGUGUAAAGGCAUAAGGAAGCUUGACUGUGAGACCUACAAGUCGAGCAGGGACGAAAGUCGGUCUUAGUGAUCUGACGGUGCUGAGUGGAAAGGCCGUCACUCAACGGAUAAAAGUUACUCUAGGAUAACAGGCUGAUCUCCCCCAAGAGUUCACAUCGACGGGGAGGUUUGGCACCUCGAUGUCGGCUCAUCGCAUCCUGGGGCGGUAGUACGUCCCAAGGGUUGGGCUGUUCGCCCAUGAAAGCGGUACGCGAGCUGGGUUCAGAACGUCGUGAGACAGUUCGGUCCAUAUCCGGUGUAGGCGUUAGAAUAUUGAGAGGAGCCUUCUCUAGUACGAGAGGACCGAGAAGGACAUACCUCUAGUGUACCAGUUAUCGUGCCAACGGUAAACGCUGGGUAGCUAUGUAUGGAGUGGAUAACCGCUGAAAGCAUCUAAGUGGGAAGCCCACCUCAAGAUAAG
rnacentral:rRNA from 1 species